rnacentral:rRNA from 1 species
AUGUGGCACCUUGGCCUCGCGGAAGCCGUGGAGCUCGCUAGCAUCAGCCGGGCACGGCAUCCUCCGGUUCCGCCACGCGCCCCACAGCACGCGGCCGAUCACCGCGAGCGGGCUCCCCUGCGGCCUGUGGUACCGGUACCGCGGCGCGCCGGCGGCAAACACCGCCACCGCAGCGGCCAUUGCGGCGGCCGCCACGCCGUACCCCCAGGCGCGUCCGAGGUUGUCCUGCACGUACACCAGCACGGUGACCGCGAAGAGCGAGCCGAGGCUGAUGCAGAAGUAGAAGCGGUUGAAGAAGUAGAGCAUGGCCCGCUCCUCCCGCGGGUCGCGCCCGUCGAACUGGUCCGUCCCGAACCCGGACACGUUCGCCUUCAGCCCGCCCCCGCCGGCCGCGAUCGUGUACAGCGCCGCGUACAGCAUCCCGAGCUGCCCGCCGCUCGCCGGCACGCACCCGGCCGCGCGGGACCGAGCCUCGCCGCCAGCCGCCGCGGCGCACCGUGGGGGGCGCAUCCCUGGGACCGCCGUGCUUGCCGCCAGCAGGCUCACGCCCUGAAAGAAUCGAUGGAGCAGCAGUGCAAUAAUGCAUUUGCAAUAUCAGAUACGCGCGCCACGUACGUGCAUACAUACAUGCGGAAUGAUAGCGGCUAUGUUGGUGUGCUGCUUACGACGGCGGUGAUGGUUGCCGAGACGGCGAUGGUGCGGUAG